rnacentral:rRNA from 1 species
ACGCUGGCGGCGUGCCUAACACAUGCAAGUCGAACGAAGCUUGAUUUCUGAUUUUUUCGGAAUGACGAAUGAUAUGACUGAGUGGCGGACGGGUGAGUAACGCGUGAGCAACCUGCCCUUCGGAACGGGAUAGUGUCUGGAAACGGACAGUAAUACCGCAUAACAUAUAUUGAUCGCAUGGUUGAUAUAUCAAAACUGAGGUGCCGAAGGAUGGGCUCGCGUCUGAUUAGAUAGUUGGUGGGGUAACGGCCUACCAAGUCGACGAUCAGUAGCCGGACUGAGAGGUUGAACGGCCACAUUGGGACUGAGACACGGCCCAGACUCCUACGGGAGGCAGCAGUGGGGAAUAUUGCACAAUGGGGGAAACCCUGAUGCAGCAACGCCGCGUGAAGGAAGACGGUUUUCGGAUUGUAAACUUCUGUUCUUAGUGAAGAAUAAUGACGGUAGCUAAGGAGCAAGCCACGGCUAACUACGUGCCAGCAGCCGCGGUAAUACGUAGGUGGCAAGCGUUGUCCGGAAUUACUGGGUGUAAAGGGAGCGUAGGCGGGAUGCCAAGUCAGCUGUGAAAACUAUGGGCUUAACUUGUAGACUGCAGUUGAAACUGGUAUUCUUGAGUGAAGUAGAGGUUGGCGGAAUUCCGAGUGUAGCGGUGAAAUGCGUAGAUAUUCGGAGGAACACCGGUGGCGAAGGCGGCCUACUGGGCUUUAACUGACGCUGAGGCUCGAAAGUGUGGGGAGCAAACAGGAUUAGAUACCCUGGUAGUCCACACUGUAAACGAUGAUAACUAGGUGUGGGGGGUCUGACCCCUUCCGUGCCGCAGCUAACGCAAUAAGUUAUCCACCUGGGGAGUACGACCGCAAGGUUGAAACUCAAAG